rnacentral:rRNA from 1 species
UUCAACGGCCGCGGUAUUUUAACCGUGCGAAGGUAGCGUAAUCACUUGUCUUUUAAAUAAAGACUAGUAUGAAUGGCACCACGAGAACUAAGCUGUCUCCCCUAUCUAAUCAGUGAAACUGAUCUCCCCGUGCAGAAGCGGGGAUGAGACCAUAAGACGAGAAGACCCUGUGGAGCUUUAAAUCAAAAGUCAACUGCCUACCCUCUCCCAUUAAUGGAAACAUUCAAGCAGAUAUGAGCAAGAUUUUCAGCUGGGGUGCCUGUGGAGAAAAAACCACCCUCCACGAAGAACGACGCUAAGAGAAACCCCUCUAAGCAUUAAUAAACUUAGCUUAAAUUGACCCAAAUUUUUUGAUCAACGGACCAAGUUACCCCAGGGAUAACAGCGCAAUCCACUUUUAGAGUCCUUAUCGACAAGUGGGCUUACGACCUCGAUGUUGGAUCAGGGCUCCCAAGUGGUGCAGCCACUACUAAAGGUUCGUUUGUUCAACGAUUAAAG